UUAACUCAAAUUUGCAUUGAGUUGGAACGUUUCACUACGUUUGCCACUAGGGGCGCUGUUCAAACUGCAUGUAUACAAAUUUGAGUUA
rnacentral:pre_miRNA from 1 species